UACGGGGGAGCAAGCGUUGUUCGGAUUUACUGGGCGUAAAGGGCGCGUAGGCGGCCACCGCAAGUCGACUGUGAAAUCUCCGGGCUUAACCCGGAAAGGUCAGCCGAUACUGCGGGGCUAGAGUGCAGAAGGGGCAACUGGAAUUCUUGGUGUAGCGGUGAAAUGCGUAGAUAUCAAGAGGAACACCUGAGGUGAAGACGGGUUGCUGGCUGACACUGACGCUGAGGCGCGAAAGCUAGGGGAGCGAACGGG
rnacentral:rRNA from 1 species